rnacentral:rRNA from 1 species
UGCCAGCCGCCGCGGUAAGACAGAGGGUGCAAACGUUGCUCGGAAUUACUGGGCGUAAAGCGCGUGUAGGCGGACUCGAAAGUCGGUUGUGAAAUCCCUGGGCUCAACCCAGGAACUGCAUCCGAAACUUCGGGUCUUGAGUAGUGGAGAGGGAAGCGGAAUUCCAGGUGUAGAGGUGAAAUUCGUAGAUAUCGAGAAGAACACCAGCGGCGAAGGCGAUCUUCUGGUCCAUAACUGACGCUGAGUGUACGAAAGCAGGGGGAGCGAACAGGAUUAGAUA